ACUUACAUCUACAAACGCCGGGGAAUUACGAGCUACGCUUAAAACCCAAAGGAUUUGACGGUGUCCCACCCCCCUAGAGGAGCCUGUUCUAUAAUCGAUAAUACCCGCUAUACCCAACCACCUCUCGCUAUUCAGUCUGUAUACCUCCGUCGAAAGCUUACCAUGUGAACGCCUACAGUAAGUACAAUGGCUACCAACGUCAACACGUCAGGUCAAGGUGCAGCUUAAGUGGUGGAAAGUAAUUGGCUACAAUUUCUAAUCUAGAACAAACGGAAGGCUAUGUGAAACCAUAGCUCUGAAGGCGGAUUUAGUAGUAAAAAGAAAAUAGAGCGUUCUUUUUAACCCGGCUCUGGGACGCGUACACACCGCCCGUCAC
rnacentral:rRNA from 1 species